rnacentral:rRNA from 1 species
AUUGAACGCUGGCGGCAGGCCUAACACAUGCAAGUCGAGCGAGUGGCGGACGGGUGAGUAAUGUAUGGGGAACUGCCCGAUGGAGGGGGAUAACUACUGGAAACGGUGGCUAAUACCGCAUACUGUCGGAUGACCCCAGAUGGGAUUAGCUGGUAGGUAAGGUAACGGCUUACCUAGGCGACGAUCCCUAGCUGGUCUGAGAGGAUGACCAGCCACACGGGGACUGCGACACGGCCCAGACUCCUACGGGAGGCAGCAGUGGGGAAUAUUGCACAAUGGGCGCAAGCCUGAUGCAGCCAUGCCGCGUGUAUGAAGAAGGCCCUAGGGUUGUAAAGUACUUUCAGUCGGGAGGCGUUACCGACAGAAGAAGCACCGGCUAACUCCGUGCCAGCAGCCGCGGUAAUAC